rnacentral:rRNA from 1 species
AGAGUUUGAUCCUGGCUCAGGAUGAAUUCUGGCGGCAUGCCUAACACAUGCAAGUCGAACGGGGUUUAUAUAACAGAACUCUCCGGAGGGAAGAUAUAUAAACCUAGUGGCGGACGGGUGAGUAACGCGUGGGCAACCUGCCCUGUACCGGGGGACAACAGCCAGAAAUGGCUGCUAAUACCGCAUAAGCCUGCGGUGCCGCAUGGCACAGCAGGGAAAACCACGGUGGUACAGGAUGGGCCCGCGUCUGAUUAGUUAGUUGGCAGGGUAACGGCCUACCAAGACGAUGAUCAGUAGCCGGCUUGAGAGAGUGGACGGCCACAUUGGGACUGAGACACGGCCCAGACUCCUGCGGGAGGCAGCAGUGGGGAAUAUUGCACAAUGGGGGGAACCCUGAUGCAGCAAUGCCGCGUGGGUGAAGAAGCACUCCGGUGCGUAAAGCCCUGUCAGCAGGGAAGAAAAUGACAGUACCUGACCAAGAAGCCCCCGGCUAACUACGUGCCAGCAGCCGCGGUAAUACGUAGGGGGCAAGCGUUAUCCUGAUUUACUGGGUGUAAAGGGAGCGCAGGCGGUAUGGCAAGUCAUAUGUGAAAACCCAGGGCUCAUCCCUUGGACUGCAUUUGAAACUGCCAUACUGGAGUGCCGGAGAGGUAAGUGGAAUUCCUAGUGUAGCGGUGAAAAGCGUAGAUAUUAGGAGGAACACCAGUGGCGAAGGUGGCUUACUGGACGGUAACUGACGGUGAGGCUAGAAAGCGUGGGGAGCAAACCGGAUUAGAUACCCUGGUAGUUCCCCCCGUAAACGAUGAAU